rnacentral:pre_miRNA from 1 species
ACUCCAUCAGCCCAUUUUAAACGCAGUUUACAUGUCUAACAUUUGAUUAUCCGUUUUAUUUUAAUCUUUUUAUAAUUAUUAUUUUUUAUUAGAUGAUAAAAUAUAAAUAGUAAUUUAUGCGUGACUUAUAUUUUUUAUUUUUUAAAAAAAUUUAAAAUAAAAUGAAUGAAUGAUUAAAGCUAGAUACGAAAAACUGUGUUUAAAAUGGGACGGAGGUACU